rnacentral:lncRNA from 1 species
CUGUCACCCAGGCUGGAGUGCAGUGGUGCAGUCAUAGCUCACCGUAACCUCGACCACCUGGGCUCAAGCUAUUCUCCUGCCUCAGCCUCCCAAGCAGCUGAAACUGUAAGUGCAUGCCACCGCACCCAGACAACUUCCUGAGACCAUCCACCCUCCCUGCCAGGCAGAGACUUUGUCCAAGCUGACCUCCCUGCUGUGUCUCCUCUUCUUCUCCGGCAGCCACAGCACACUCAUCCUGUAAGCAGGUGGUACAGCCAGCAUGCUGCCCUGCUCUGCUGAGCUGAGCAUGGGUAAGACUUACUAAAAUGAUAACUUCCACUUUUACUGCAAGAAGCCCUGUGUUUGCUGUAGCGGGCUGAAAAGAUGCUGUCAUUUUUCACAUUUCCUCUUUCAUGAAAACUUCAGAGAACACGGCCCAAGUCCCAUUCUCUUCACUAAGCCUUCCCUGGCUAUUCUAGUUCACAGUGAUUUACAGCGAAAUAAGGAGUCAUUCUCUAAUCAUUUUAUUCAACAUCCUUUCAACAAUUUUAUUGAAAGCCUAGUAUGUGCUGAAUACUAUUAAGGAGCUAGAGAAAAAGUUCCUACCUCCAUGGAAUCUAUAUUCUAGCAAUUUAUGGUACUGAUUGUAUAUGGUACUAUAUCCAUGAAAUUCUGUCUGUGCUACUUUUGUUUCCAUUGUUAUAGUGUAAUUUGUUAUUUGAGAAUGGAGGCUCUCUUACAUCUUUUUCCAUUAUCACUAACACUGUCUUUAAUGCAGUGUAAACCAAAUGGUAAGUGUUUAAGGAAUAUUUGUAUAUGACUUAUUCAGAGAUUAAGUAAUAAUAAUCUGCACCAAAUUCUGAGAACUAACUGUAUGCUAUGUACUGAUCUGCUUUAUUUAC